rnacentral:lncRNA from 1 species
UGCCACCGCCCGGGAGCACGGCGGUGACGGGCCAUGCACCGGGCAGCCCUCGGCUGGAGGUGAUUCACGCUAAUUAGCUAAUUAGGUGUUGUCCCUGACCUCGGUACCGCCCUCUCCCACUACUCCUGCCCUUGACUGACUUGAGAGGUCGAGCCCUGGGUCGGCCCCCGCGGGACGGAAAAUGUCAAAUCCACUUGCUGAGUUGUGUAUGCGGGGCUGGAGUGCCGUGCCUGAUGCUUCAGGAGCCCAAGAAGGUGUAAGAUGAGUGUCAAAAGCACGAGGGAAACCUCCUGCGUGAGGGAAAUGAGCACAGAAAAUGUCAGCACUAACACAGCGGUAGCACAGGUACCGAGGAAAACCUCAGAAUCGCCACAUCGUUUGCAGCUACAGCUUCACCUGUAUAAAUAUAGCACCCAAAAGGCCGACCUUCAUCGCAGGAAAAUCAUGGGAAGUUAAUGUACUAGGUGGAGGAUGGAGAGCAGAGGGAAGCAGGAAGAUGAGAGACUGCCCAAACACAUGAGGUUGAUUAACCUAAUUUAAUCUGCAACAAAGAAUAAGACCCACAGAAGGAGAGCCAUUAUUCAGCGGACGGUAGUUUCCCCACCCAAGGAUACAGCCUUCAGCUGCUCUGCCUGUCCAGGGUGCAGACUAACCCAGUGCUUUUAAAGUUAAAGCAAGGAACUGAAAUACAGGGUUAUUGAACAAGAAAGCCACAUCCCUUUUUCUUUUAAGAUUCAGUAAAAUAAUGUGCUGCUGUCACAAUCCAGUAACUGCAGUUUUCUGUGUAUCAUUUUUGUAAAGCAAAAGGGACAGUCUGGCAAUGGCUGUCAUUGCAGGGGAGCCAGCUUACGCACAUGUGCAACAUCUGAAUUGCUGCUCCUACAACCUAGCAAACAAAAUGCACAGAGUGUCACUGCAAAAGGCACCAUAACUUUAUACCUUGUCUCUGUUAGCAGAUACCACACAUUGACAGAGACAGACUGAAGAAACAGCAGCUAGGUACAGAAAACCACUCAGAGAAAUGCUUCAGCUACUGUGUUAGUUAAAGUAACCAUAUGCAAAAGAGCAUGACACCAUCACUGCCAAAAUUCUUGCUGUUUUUAGUCCUUACAACUCUCAUUUAAGAUGAAUGGUUGGCAUUCUCCAACCAAAGGUACUGUUUUGAUUAUAUAUACAUACACAGACCAAU